GGCAGUGGCAGCGGGAGCCCAGGGACCGCUCCAUCACUGGCAGCCAUGGAGCCCGAGCAUUUUCCUCCCUCAGGGCAGGCGCCUCGGCUCGGCACACGUCCUCGGGGAGGAAGGGGCCGGCGCCCGAGCCUCCCCGGAGGGCGGCGGGAUGUGCGCUAGCGCAGAGGGGUGCGAGCCACUCCUGUCCUCUUCCUCCGCAGCCGGCUCGUCCUCACCCUGCUGCUCCCGCGGCCCGGGCGGGAGGGGGCCGCAGGCAGCGGCGGCUCCUUCUCGGCGGCGUUGGUGGCCAGACGCGCUGGUGCAAGCGACUGCAGCCGACGCCGUUCAAAGGAACGAGAGACCUGGGUCAGAGCCCAAAGUUGGAACUGAGGCCAAAGGGACAAUCUUGCUGAGGACUCCUGCUGCUGCCAAGGGCUGUCCAUCCACAGGAAGACUUCCCUUGACAGCCCGGUCCUGAGGCAGCUGGUUCUGGUGGGCAGCUGGAAAUGAGACAGAAGAACUGAAGUCCUGUCAUCUUAAAAGUAGCUGCCUCCGGUAAACUUAAGCAAGAAAGAAAUUUAUUGGGAAAACUGGGGAAGCUCCAGAUUGAGAAGAGGAGGCUGAAGACCCAAUGGUGGAAAGGACAGACCCAAACAGCUCACAUGAAGUCUCCACAGCAUGAACUUCUCAACAGCUGCAUCUGAAACAAAGGAUUCUGAUUCCAGGAAGAGAGCAUUUCACUGGUUUAGCUAGGUUCAACUCUUUUCUCAGCGGCUGGGGGAAGGCAGGGUCUCUGAACAACAGUCCCACCAGAUGGUAUCCAAAAGUGAGGAUGGAAUUACCAAAAAGUAAAUGGGGAUGCUAUUACUGAAAGAAUGGGGUCUGAAAGCUUAGUAGCUAAAGGAAGUAAACCCAAAGCAACAACCAAACAGAUGGGUGCCAUUCCCUUCCUCUCCACUUCACUGUUUUGUAUGUUUUCUGCUCUUUUGUAUAUAUUUCCCUCUCUUCUUUUUUCCUCUAUUCUGCCUUUCUUGCCUUUUCCUUACCCUUUAAAGUUUUUCUGGUAUCAUGGCUGAAACUUUUGUCAUUAUUUCUGCUUUUUCUUAGAGAUCCUAGUAUCAAAACUGUAUCACCUAAACAACUGAUCCUUGAGGGCAGUUGGUGUUAGCAGAGUAGGAAAAUAUCCACAUUGUUUGAUUUUUGAAGACAUGUUCCUGAAUCUAUCCUUUCUAAACCAGCAACUCCCAUAACUGCCUACCAUUAUGCCUAUAAUCUAAUUGUUAUAACUGAAUUCCUCUAAUUAAAACAAAGAGACUUUAGGAAUUUGUCACUGAAAGGAUAAUAAUCUACUAUUUACUAUUGCCAUCUUAUCAUGAAAUUGGUCAAGCUGUUAUCAAAGGAAGCCUGGGAACAGCCCACCUGGUUGACAUAAAUGUGCCAGAGUAAAAUGAGCCUUUACAAUGGAGACAGAGGUUAUAGGUCAGACCUCAGAUCCACCUCUUUCUAGCUUUGUGACUUAGUUUAAUCAUUUAUCUUCUUCAAGUUUCAUUUACGUCAUCUGUGAAAGGGAAUAUAAUUCUUAUCACAUUUGGCUAUUAUGAAAAAUCAGUAAAAUUAUAUUUGUAAAAUACUUACUGUACUACCUGGCAUAUAAUAGAUGUGUGGUAAAGGUUAAAUUCCUCCUUCUUCCAACAAAUAUGUAAUGAACACCUACUAUGCCCCACACACCAUGCUAGAUGCUAGGCACAGAAGCAAAACAGACAUGCUUCCUACCGCUUGAAGGUUAGUUUCUAGUGGAAAAGACACACAUUAAGCAAAAUCCAAUAUAGAAAGUAUUGGUACCAAGAAACACAUUAAUUAGAGGUUCACAGACAAUGGCUGCUAUAGACUCAAUGUUGUGUCCCCCCAAAAUUCAUAUAUUGAAACCUAAUCCCCAAUGGUAUUUGUAUGGUAUUUGGAGGUGGGACGUUUAGGAGGUGAUUAGGUCAUGAAGGUGGACCCCUCAUGAAUGAGAUUAGUGCCCUUAUAAAAGAGCUCCCAGAGACAUCUGUUACCCUUUCUCCUACAGAAGGACAUAGCAAAGAGAUGGCCAUCUAUGAAGCAGAAAACAGAUCCUCAUCAGACACUGAAUCUUCUAUAUCAGGAUCUUGGGCUUCCUAGCCUCCAGAACUAUGAGAAAUAAAACUAUGCUGUUUAUAAGCCA